GCGGCCCAUUAGCUAGUUGGGGGUGUAACGGACCACCAAGGCGAUGAUGGGUAGCCGGCCUGAGAGGGUGAACGGCCACACUGGGACUGAGAUACGGCCCAGACUCCUACGGGAGGCAGCAGCUAAGAAUAUUCCGCAAUGGACGAAAGUCUGACGGAGCGACGUCGCGUGGAUGACGAAGGCCGAAAGGUUGUAAAGUCCUUUUGUCGAUGAAGAAUAAGGGUAGGAGGGAAUGCCUGCCUGAUGACGUUAGUCGGCGAAUAAGCCCCGGCUAAUUACGUGCCAGCAGCCGCGGUAACACGUAAGGGGCAAGCGUUGUUCGGAAUUAUUGGGCGUAAAGGGUACGUAGGCGGUUUGGUAAGCCCGGCGUGAAAUCCUGCAGCUUAACUGUAGAGCUGCGCUGGGAACUGCGAAACUUGAGUCAUGGAAGGGGAGUUAGAAUUCCAGGUGUAGGGGUGAAAUCUGUAGAUAUCUGGAAGAAUACCGGUGGCGAAGGCGAACUCCUGGCCAAUGACUGACGCUGAGGUACGAAAGUGCGGGGAGCAAACAGGAUUAGAUACCCUGGUAGUCCGCACCGUAAACUAUGUGCACUAGGUGUUGGGCCGAGCGGUUCAGUGCCGAAGCUAACGUGAUAA
rnacentral:rRNA from 1 species